CAAAAAAAAAAAAGUCUUCAAGAUUCCUUCCUGCUAUCAACAACAUUAUAUCAUUUCCUUUCUAGGACCAAGCAAUUGAAAGCAUUGAUUUAAUCUACAAAUCUACAAUUAUUUUUUUCCUUGCUACAAUUCAGAACAAAAAUUUCCAUUAAGAAAACAUCACAUUUAAGGUACAAGAAGUAGUUAACCCCCCCCCCCUUUUUUUUUUCUUUUCAGUACUAGUGAUUGAACCCAGGGAUCCUUCACCACUGAGCUACAUCUUCCACCUUUUAAAGUUUUAUUUUGAGAAAGGGUCCUGCUAACUCGAUGAGGUGCCUCCUGCCUCAGUCUCCCAGGUAUGUGGGAUUACAGAGGUGUGCUAUCCUACCUGGCUUAGUAAAAUGUUUUUUAGUAACUUUUUAAAAAUUUAAAUUUAUGUAAGUGAUCAUUACCUUAAGUUAAUCAGGGCAGUAACUCUAAAUUUUUAGAGAUCUAAUUUCUCUAUUCACUUCAGACAGAAAAAGAACAUAUCAAUUUCCUAAGAAUAAUAUAUUUAUAUGUCUGAAAGAAUUUUAUCAAACUGGUGGAGCUUCUAAAGAAACCAUCUAUGGUAAGUAAUAUCAAUUAAGGUGGAAACAGGAGCAGUAGUAAUUUAAUAGCAAGCUUUGUUGUGGGUUGAUCUCUCAGAAAACAUCUCAGUCUGAAUUUUGUCCAAAUUAGAGAGUUUUUUAUUUAGCCAGCUGGGACUGCUCCCUGCAGGACCCAAAUUGUCUCUGCCAGGAACAGUGCCAGUCUGAGUUCUAUGGGGUUUAUAAGGGGAAGAAAACCACAUCCUCAAAAAUGUAGGUGCAGGGCUGGGGAUGUGGCUCAAGCGGUAGCGCGCCACACAUACAAACAAAAGAUGUUGUGUCCGCCAAAAACUAAAAAAUAAAUAUUAAAAAUUCCCUCUCUCUCUCUCUCUCUCUCAAAAAAAAAAAAAUGUAGGUGCAGCAAGAGAGCAUGUUAGAGUCUGUAAACAAGUCAAAAUAACACCUGGCAUUUUGCCAGGGGAAUGUUAGAGUUCCUAAACAAGUCUGGAUGGUGCCUGGCAAAAUGCCAGAGGGAGUGGUUUGAGAAGUAACAAAAACAAGCCAUUAAGUGUGGAGAUUCCUUAUUGGUUGACUGAUGUAUCUAG
rnacentral:lncRNA from 1 species